rnacentral:lncRNA from 1 species
AGACUGAUUUAAUGCAUAGAGUGAAAUUAGAAGGGUUAAUAAUAAUGUCCACACUUUCCAUUGCAGAAGGACUGCCUACUCUGGAGCCACUUUAUUAGUAGUAUCCAGCUCCCCUGUGGUGAAUAUGUUAACACUCUGCCCUUCCUGAAAGCAACUGGGACCAUGAGGAGAUAUAUUAACUUGACCGAACAAGACAACAGAAAUUCUCAGAGUACUGAAAACAGAAGGCACAGCAGAGAUAUGUAAGUAGAGAUGGGACAUUCACAUGUAACCCUCCAUAGUAACACAAUUUAAAGACUCAAGUUUGAGCAAUUGCUGGCAAAGGAAGAGUAUUUUAUACAACCAAGCUAUGAAGAAAUAUUGGGAAGUGGAUUUAAUGGCCAACUCUUAGCAAUGACACAACAGAACA